AUGGCUCAGACGAACGCUGGCGGCGCGUUUAAGCAUGCAAGUCGAGCGGCAAGGGCCUUCGGGCCCCUAGAGCGGCGGACGGGUGAGUAACACGUGGACAAUCUGCCCCCCGGCCCGGGAUAGCCCAGGGAAACCUGGAUUAAUACCGGAUGAGACGGGACCCGCGAUGGCGGGAUCCGGGAAAGGCGCUGCGGCGCCGCCGGGGGAUGAGUCUGCGUCCCAUUAGCUAGACGGCGGGGUAACGGCCCACCGUGGCGACGAUGGGUAGCCGGCCUGAGAGGGUGGACGGCCACAUUGGAACUGAGACACGGUCCAGACUCCUACGGGAGGCAGCAGCUAAGAAUCUUCCGCAAUGGGCGAAAGCCUGACGGAGCCGACGCCGCGUGAACGAAGAAGGCCGUGAGGUUGUAAAGUUCUUUUCGGGAGGGGGAACAACCGUGGCAGGGAAUGGCCGCGGGAUGACGUGAAUCCCGGAAUAAGCCCCGGCUAACUACGUGCCAGCCGCGGC
rnacentral:rRNA from 1 species